rnacentral:rRNA from 1 species
CCUACGGGUGGCAGCAGUGGGGAAUAUUGGACAAUGGGGGCAACCCUGAUCCAGCCAUGCCGCGUGUGUGAAGAAGGCCCUCGGGUUGUAAAGCACUUUCAGUGAGGAAGAACGCCUGGUGGUUAAUACCCAUCAGGAAAGACAUCACUCACAGAAGAAGCACCGGCUAACUCCGUGCCAGCAGCCGCGGUAAUACGGAGGGUGCGAGCGUUAAUCGGAAUUACUGGGCGUAAAGCGCGCGUAGGUGGCUUGAUAAGCCGGUUGUGAAAGCCCCGGGCUCAACCUGGGAACGGCAUCCGGAACUGUCAAGCUAGAGUGCAGGAGAGGAAGGUAGAAUUCCCGGUGUAGCGGUGAAAUGCGUAGAGAUCGGGAGGAAUACCAGUGGCGAAGGCGGCCUUCUGGACUGACACUGACACUGAGGUGCGAAAGCGUGGGUAGCACACAGGAUUAGAUACCCUAGUAGUC